GAUGAACGCUAGCUACAGGCUUAACACAUGCAAGUCGAGGGGAAACGAUAUUGGAAGCUUGCUUCUGAUAGGCGUCGACCGGCGCACGGGUGAGUGACGCGUAUCCAACCUGCCCAUCACUUGGGGAUAACCUUGCGAAAGUAAGACUAAUACCCAAUGACGUCUCUAGAAGACAUCUGAAAGAGAUUAAAGAUUUAUCGGUGAUGGAUGGGGAUGCGUCUGAUUAGCUUGUUGGCGGGGUAACGGCCCACCAAGGCGACGAUCAGUAGGGGUUCUGAGAGGAAGGUCCCCCCACAUUGGAACUGAGACACGGUCCAAAACUCCUACGGGAGGCAGCAGUGAGGAAUAUUGGUCAAUGGACGAGAGUCUGAACCAGCCAAGUAGCGUGCAGGAUGACGGCCCUAUGGGUUGUAAACUGCUUUAUAAGGGAAUAAAGUGAGUCUCGUGAGACUUUUUGCAUGUACCUUAUGAAUAAGGACCGGCUAAUUCCGUGCCAG
rnacentral:rRNA from 1 species